GUCUGGAUGAGUUUUAAAGAAGUUCCCCUCAGGUUUAUUUUCAUUUCUAAUCAACUUUAAUUAUCUCUGAAACCCUGAAGGCUGAUGGCAAUAAUAAAGGCAGAAUACGUGGAGCGCUGCACUCACUGUCUGAUCCGUCCAUGCAUCCAUUCUGCAUGUUUGUUUUUGCUGAUGUUGGACACAUACUCUGUCCUUUUAUCAAUCUGAUUCCCAGAGUCAGUCUGGGUUUCAUGUCGGUGUUUCAAACUGGAGGAAUAAAGACGCAGAAUCAUCAACACGAACUCUCCGACCCUGAUCGAACUUCAAAGAAUGAAGAGAAACUGAGAUCUGACGACAAAAGUAAGAAAACAAGGAAAAAUACAUUCACUCUGGUUUGAAAUACAAAACAUGUGUCACUGACAGAAAUUAAAGGGAUAUUCUGGUGUAAAAUUAAUUUAGGGUCAAACACACCAUAACACAGAGUUAGACACCCCCUCCUGAGAUGAAUGUUGCUCACCUACUCUCUUCCAGCAGACGCUUGUUCGUAGUGAGACCUCAGGCCAGUCCAUUACGGACUACAGUGGGGUGUCGCAGCUCAAGGAAGAACAUUUAUGAUCAUUUUUUUAUCAUUUCCUUUAAGUAAUAAUCACCAUAUUAAUCAUUUUACAGACGCAGUAGUUCUUCUGUCUUAGCGUCUCGGUCUGAUUGUAUUUCCAUGAAGAAAUGAUCAUAAAUGUUCUUCCUUGAGCUGCGGCACCCCGCUGUAGUCCGUAAUGGACUGGCCUGAGGUCUCGGAGGGGGUGUCUAACUCGGUAUUACGGUGUGUUUGACCCUGAAUUAAUUUUACGCUGGAAUAUCCCUUUAAAGUGGACUGGAACCACCUGAGGGAGCUUUGAUGAUUUACAAACCAGAUAAAUGUGGUUUUUGGUGCAGGUGGGGUGCAGCUGAACUUACAGCACAAAUGCAGACGGUGUUGGCACCCAUCCUUGGUCUCCUGAAUCUGAGAAGGCAGCCCAUGAAGGACGGAGCUCAGAGCCAAACUGGGUCGGAGUGGAGGUGUGGACUGAACAUGGAUCUGGAGGAAGUCUGGUGGUGAGGUUAUUGGACUUAAUUCUGUGUGGAGACGUGUCGUCUGAUUUUAUGUUUCAGGACCACAUGAAGAUGAGACGUUAUUCAGACAAAUGUGAUAAAAACCAUUUUAAAUGUUAUUAAAAUAUCUGAACUCUGAC